rnacentral:misc_RNA from 1 species
UUUCCGUAAGUGAACCUGCGGAAGGAUCAUUACUGAGUGAGGGCCCCUCGGGGUCCAACCUCCCACCCGUGUUUAACGAACCUUGUUGCUUCGGCGGGCCCGCCUCACGGCCGCCGGGGGGCAUCUGCCCCCGGGCCCGCGCCCGCCGAAGCCACCUGUGAACGCUGUCUGAAGUAUGCAGUCUGAGACAAUUAUUAAAUUAAUUAAAACUUUCAACAACGGAUCUCUUGGUUCCG